ACCACAAUCAAUCAAUGGUGAGUUAUUCAAAUAUACAAGUUGCAUAAUCCGUUCAAUAAUACGAAUUCAAUCAAUAUCAAUUCACGAUAUACUAUCGAAAAUCAAGCAAAAAUUUAUACAAUUUAAUACACAAGUCAUUUAACCAUUUAAAAUCUACCCGAUGAACGAUAUCACAGAUAUGGAUACGCGGUUAUCCACUAUAACAUGCCAAAACACUCCAAUGAGCCAAUCCAACUGAGAACACGUCUUGGCACCAAGUGCCUAGCCUAUAGGCUAACAUCCCUCCAGAAACACUCCUCGGCACCAAGUUCCAAGCCCAAAGGCUUUACAUCCGCCCCCAGUAACACGCCAAAAACACUGUAAAUAUAACACGAUAGUCCGCAACAAAUGCUGGACUCCAAUAUAUUCAGUGGACAGGAAUAAAUAAGGAAUCAUCAUCUCAUCACAAGUCAAUCUCAUACAGCACACAAUAUAACUUAUUGGCAUGCCAAUUGUGUCCUAUCCUAUGUUCAUCUGAGCUUGAGACAAAUAAUCACAUAAUAUUUUACAAAUCAAUUACAUUUCUCACCUUAAAUUAACUUUAUGAUUAUAGCAUUAUAUAAAUAUAUAUAUAUAUGAAUAUUCAACAAAUAAUAACUCACAAGUCAAUAUAAUAUUAUAAUUUAUUCUAAUUUAAAUCAUACGAAGUUAUCAGGGCUAAACAGCGAAGAUGGCAACAUCAGUAAAUUUCUCUUUUCUACAAUUAUCUACCGAUCCUUGAUCUAUACAAUAAUUUUUAUUUCAAAUAUCAGUCCCAAAUACAUUAUAAAAUUCCAUUUAAUACAUAUGAUUUCUUAAUUGACAUUUUUCACAAUUUCUUAAAGUUUUGCAUUUUGUUCAAUUUAGUCCCUAACCCCGAAACUCUAACAUUUAUCACAAUUAAAUCAAAUUCAAGAUAACUGAAUUCUCUCUCAUACAUAAAAAAUCCAUAAUUAUUGAAAUUUCUCAAGAAUUUCAUGCUAAAUUUUUUAUUUUAUCAAUUUAGUCUUUAAAAUUUAAAAUCAACUAAAAUCACUAUACAAAAUAAUCCUAAUCAACAACCAACACUUCAAAUUCAUUAUUUAAUAUCACAAAUAAAAAAUAUUCAUCAAUGGUAAAAUCCAAAAUCAUUCAUAGAAAUACAGGUUAGCUGGACCUAAUUGCAACAAUCUCAAAAAUAUAAAAAUUAUUAAAAAUGAGCUUUGAAAACGUUACGAUGCAAGAAAAAUGGUUUUGCCGAAAGUAAGAAGCUCUCAACCAUGGUUGUUCGGUGUAGAGAAAAAGAAAUGAAGAAGAUAACUUCCUUUUUUAAUGCUUUUUAUCUUUUAAUUCAUUUAGUUUAACUUAAUUUAAUUAAUGUAUAAUUAUAAAUAUUCAUUUAUCACAUACAUCAACCGCCCACUAAGAUAAAAAUGGCAUAAUUUUCAUAUAGAUCCUUAAAUAAUUGUUAAUUAUGCCUUUUAAAAAAUAGUAACUAAUAUCGAUUAAUUUUUACAGCUUUUAUGAUUUAGUCCUUUUUUCCUUAAUUGACCAAUCAAACAUUUAAAACUUAAAAACUGAACAUUCACAUACUAAGAUAAUUGCUCCUAAAAUAAUUAAUAAAAAUAUUCACAAUCUCGAUAUAUAGAAAUGAGGUCCCGAUACCUCUUUUUUCAAAACCACUUGACUUUCAGGGCAAUCACCUAUAGUUAACCAUUUAUUCAAUUAGAUAAAAUUUAUCUAAUAAAAACUCAAUAUAAAACUAUAAUCGACUCAUAUGAAUUAAAUAAUAAUUAAUACUAUCUUACUCGUCAAAUUUGUGGUCUUAAAACCACUAUUGACACCAUUGAAAAGAGGGUUGUUACAACUUAAUUGAAAACUAAGAUAAGCUUUUGUUUAAUGUUUACGAACUUACUAAACAUUCUAUACACUUACUCCGUUUGUUUUCCAUUUUCCCUUUUCCCUUAUAGGUCAUGUAACGACCUAAAAAGUCGUUUCAGAAAUUACAAUUUCGAGACCCCAUUUUCGUAAAUCAAGCUCAUAAAUAUUAUUUAUUAUUUAUGGAAUUAUUAUACAAGUGAAUUAAAUUUUGGAUAGAUAAUUUUUGUUGAAUUAGUUUUUAAUUAAGACUCAUAGACUAAUUUUUGUUGAAUUAGUUUUUAAAUCAUGGGUUAAGGACUAAAUUGGUAAUUAUACCUAUAACACCCCUAACCCGAAUCCGUCGUCAGAACAAGUUUAUGGAGUAUUACCAGAGUUUACAGAUUAAAUAGACAGAAAUUUCAAACAUUUCACAUCAUAUAAUAUUCAUAUCAUAAACCAACCAUGUAACACCCUAACCUGUAUCCGCCGUCAAAAUAGGGUUUCAGAGUAUUACUAAAAUUUGCAGAUCACUAAAAAAAUUCAAUUAAAUACUUACCGAUUCAAUGCAUCAUAUAAAUAAAUAUAUUAUCACUCAAUCAAUAGCUUGGCACUUGUAUAGGCAUCAAACAACAACAUUGUUAGUACACUAGUACAUAUUUCAUAUAAAUUCAACAUUGAUAUACUUAUUUUCUCGACAUGUCACACUUGAGUUUAAUAAUUGUCUUUACUUACAUAAUUUCCUUGUAUCAACAUAUCAAAGAUAAUCAUAUAUGUACAUGUCAUGAAACAUAUCAUUCUCUUACCGUUUCUUCAUAAGUAUAUAUCAUUUAUUUCAUUAUAUCAAUAUUUCAUGCUCCAUCAUUUCCAUAUAUUUUAUGUAUAUUUAUUUCGGUAAUAGUUUAUAUCAAACUUAACAUAAAUUAUAUUCCAUGUACUUAUACUUAUUUCAUUUAUCUAUCUUCAUAAUUAUUUCAUACAACUAUUUUAUACAUAUAUUUCCAUAUGACCAGUUCUUGUAAACAUUUCACACAACCAUUGCAUAUAACCAUUCGUCAUCUGAUACAUAUUACCUGAAUAUCAAUUGUUCAAUAGAUGUCAUAGCGUCUCCCAUCCACGGUCUUAUUUAUCUUUGACAUGAUGCCAUAGUGUCUUUCAACUAUGGUCUUAUUCAUUUUCUGUCAUGUUGCCAUGGUAUCUUUCAACCAUGGUCUUAUUCAUUUCAUGUCACGCUGCCAUGGUAUCUUUCAACCAUGGUCUUAUUCAUUUUCCAUCAUGUUGCCAUGGUAUCUUUCAACCAUGGUCUUACACAUUUCAUAUCAUGUUGCUAUGGUAUCUUUCAGCCAUGGUCUUAUUCAUUUCAUGUCACGUUGCCAUGGUAUCUUUCAACCAUGGUCUUACACAUUUCAUUUCAAAGAGCACACUCCCGCGAACCUCAUCCUUACAGCGGGAUUACCAGUCCAGGCUAAAUCCCCUGUAAUAUAAACUCAUAGAGUAUUGUCAGGAUUACCAGUCCAGGCUAAAUCCCCUGCAACGACAAUUACUCUAAUGAGCUUGGAUCUGAAUUACCAGUCCAGGCUAAAUUCAGACCCUAAUUUGGAUUACUCGUCUGGGCUAAAUCCAUUUACACGUAUUCUUCGAGAGGGCUAUAUCAGGAUAGGAUCACUCGUCCGGGCUAGAUCCUUUUUACCGUCAAUUCAUUUUCAGAGAUCCAUCGAAUUUUCUUUUUAUUCAACCGAGAUUUCUUCCCCUUUUAUCAAAUAUGUUAAUGUUUCAUCAAUUUUCAUACAAUGAAGAUUCAAAUCAUAUUCAUAUCAAAAACAUACAUUUUAAGCAUUUAAGAAUAUAAUUCAAGUUAUACGAACUUACCUAGCGAAAUUGCAGAAAUAUCAAGAUUUAGGGACAUUUUGGUAAUUUACUAUUUUCUCAAUUUUCACCCGAUCAUAAAUUGAAAAUUUCACUCAAUUUAUUAAUUUAGAUAAUAAAACAAUUCGUUCCUUCAAUUUGAUCAUUUUUGACAUUUUUACAAAAUUGCCCCCUGAAGUUUUACUUUUAUUCAAUUUAGUCCUUAAGCCUAAAACAUGCAAAUUAGCCAUGCUAGCUGAAUAUUCAUAUAUAUUUUCCUCCUCCUCUCCAUUCCACAUCCUUAAUGUAUAUAACACACUUGUAAGUAACAUUAUCUAUAAUUUUUAUUAUUUACUUUUAUGAAUAUUCAAGUUGUCCAUCUGUGUCAUAGUCACUAAAUUAUUUAUAUAUGGAGCUCUAGAACUCUAAAUUAAGAUCUGCUAAUUUUUCCUGAAACUAGACUCAUAUAUAUUCUUACCAUAAAAUUUUCAGAAUUUUUGGUUUAUUCAAUAAAUACAGUUUAUUCUUUAAAGUUACUCAUGUUCUGCUGUCUAACAGUUGUGACCCUUCUUCACUAAAAAUUAAUUAUCUCCUCGUACAGAAUUCUAAUGAUGUUCCUGUUUAUUUCUAUUAAAAAUAGACUCAUUCAAGAUUCUAAACAUAUAAAUUUAAGCCCAUAAUUAUUUUUAUAUAAUUUUGAUAAUUUUUCGAAGUCAGAAUAGGGGAAACCGAAAUUAUUCUGAUCUUAUCUCACAAAAUUUAUUAUAUCUCAUGAUUUAUAAUUUCAUUGUUUACACCGUUUCUUUUAUAAGAAACUAGACUCAAUAAUAUUUAAUUUCAUAUUUUAUUCAUCCUAUAAUUCUAUUUCUACAAUUUUUGGUGAAUUUUCAAAGUUAGACUACUGCUGCUGUUCAAAACUGUUUUAGUGUAAAAUGUUAAUUUUCAUUUUGUCUCAAAUUUCACAGUCAUACAAUUCAGUCCUUAUUUCAGUUCUAACUUGAAAAUUCUAUCAAUUUAAUCCCUAAUUCAAUCAUUUCAUUCAAGAUAAACAGUAUCUAGAAAUCUAAUAACUUUCAAAAUAUCAACUUGACUUUAUCAAAACGUUAUUCCAAAACUUCUAAAACAUCAAAAUUAAAAAAAAUGACUUAAUUGACUUACCUAUUAAACUUCCAAGCUUCACACCUUGAAUUUUCCCUUUUCUUCUUUCUUUUCUCUUUUUCUUUCUUUCCUUCCCCUGCUCUCUGUUUCGUUUGCUUUUUCUUCAUUUUCUAUUCUUUUUCUUUCUUUAUUUCCU
rnacentral:lncRNA from 1 species